UCCGCUGUUACCGACAGGGAAGAUUUUGAUAUGGAGCUUCACAAUUGGCCGCAAAACGUGGGGGGGUAAAAGGCAAUUCACAAGUAACCAGAUGUGGAAGACGGGCCUUAAUUAUCACUGACGGUGCUGAUGAGUUGGCAAGUAUUGGAGUAUUUCGUAUUUUCUUCGUCUCGAUAUCGGGCGAAACAUCUGACAGACUAAGCAUUUUCACGAAAUUCAGGGGUGAAUUGAAUGAACUACCAAAAUGAAUGAUCUGGGCUAAGUGGGCAAACAAGGAAGCUGGAAGAGAUAGAUGGACACAUCGUAGACAUCAAUACCCAGAUGGCUAUUCAAAAGGAAAAAAUCAUUGAAAUCUGGAACGGAGGAAGAGAUUGAAAACAAAGCACAAAAAUGGUAGCUGAGAUGGAUACUCGCCAACGUUCAGUCCUAAAAAAAAUAAAAAAUUAUGAUAAAAAAAAUAACAUUUAGAAAUAAUGCAGGAAUAAAAACGAUUGAGUAUAA